rnacentral:rRNA from 1 species
UACAGAGGUCUCAAGCGUUGUUCGGAUUCAUUGGGCGUAAAGGGUGUGUAGGUGGCGCGCUAAGUCGGGUGUGAAAUUUCGGAGCUUAACUCCGAAACUGCAUUCGAUACUGGCGUGCUUGAGGACUGGAGAGGAGACUGGAAUUCAUGGUGUAGCAGUGAAAUGCGUAGAGAUCAUGAGGAAGACCAGUGGCGAAGGCGGGUCUCUGGACAGU